CUCUGGGUCACCUCCCACCCGUGUUUAUUUUACCUUGUUGCUUCGGCGGGCCCGCCUUAACUGGCCGCCGGGGGGCUUACGCCCCCGGGCCCGCGCCCGCCGAAGACACCCUCGAACUCUGUCUGAAGAUUGUAGUCUGAGUGAAAAUAUAAAUUAUUUAAAACUUUCAACAACGGAUCUCUUGGUUCCGGCAUCGAUGAAGAACGCAGCGAAAUGCGAUACGUAAUGUGAAUUGCAAAUUCAGUGAAUCAUCGAGUCUUUGAACGCACAUUGCGCCCCCUGGUAUUCCGGGGGGCAUGCCUGUCCGAGCGUCAUUGCUGCCCUCAAGCACGGCUUGUGUGUUGGGCCCCGUCCUCCGAUCCCGGGGGACGGGCCCGAAAGGCAGCGGCGGCACCGCGUCCGGUCCUCGAGCGUAUGGGGCUUUGUCACCCGCUCUGUAGGCCCGGCCGGCGCUUGCCGAUCAACCCAAAUUUUUAUCCAGGUUGACCUCGGAUCAGGUAGGGAUACCCGCUGAACUUAAGCAUAUCAAUAAGCGGAGGA
rnacentral:rRNA from 1 species